GACUGCACGUACACAUCGGCGUUCAAGGUGCGUCUCCUCUAUAAACUUGUGGGGGGGAGAAUAACAGGAAACAAUCCGGCGCUCUGUGUCAUCCUCUUCUGUCGCCAGUUCGGCGGGUUGACGCAUGUUUUCAGCACGGUGCCACUGGUUUCCAUGUCGCCAGUCAGCAGCACGUCAGUCGGAGGGGGAAAUUUGUGAAAGUGUCCAUGCGCCAGCUCACAGGUUUCCUUUUGAAUACUAGGGCAAGGCCGUGUGUUAGCAAAUAGCUUUGGUGCAUGACGUAGGAGAUGGACAAGACGGGAUCUGGAGGUCAUACCGUGCAUUUGUUAUAUCGUGUUGGCCUAAGGUUGUAGGUGUACAUGUUGGCCUAUCAAGCGUUUGUCGAUACUCCCCAUUUGUCCCUCCACUAGUCUCCACGGAGUUGUAUGAUGGCUGGUGGAUGGAAUGCAUUGUAUACUGACAGGGAGGCAAACAAGGUAUGUACAAUCAGUGGUGUAAAGUACUGAAGUAAAAAUACUUUAAACUACUACAGUAGCUUUUGGGGGUAUCUGUACAUUACUUGAAUAUUUAUAUUUUUGACUACUUUUACUUUUCCUUUUGUACAUUCCAAAAGAAAAUAUUGUAUUUCUUACUCCAUACAUUUUCCCUGACAUCCAAAAGUACUCGUUACAUUUUGAAUGCAUAGCAGGACAGGAAAAUAGCCAAAUUCACCACUUAUCAAUAGAACAUGUCAUCAUCCCUACUGCCUCUGUUCUGGCAGACUCACUAAACACAAAUGCAUCUUUUGUAAAUAAUGUCUGAGUGUUGGAGUGUGACCCUGGCUAUCCGAAAAAUGUAAAAACAGGAAAAUGGUGUCAUCUGCUUUGCUUAAUAUAAGGAAUUUUAAAUUAUUUAUAUGUUUACUUUUGAUACUUAAGUAUAUUUUAGCAAUUACAUUUACUUUUGAUACUUAAGUAUAUUUAGAACCAAACACUUUUAGACUUUUACUCAAGUAGUAUUUUACUGGCUGAUUUUCACUUUUACUUGAGUCCCACUGAUUAGUAUUUGUAUAUAUGUGUCCUUUGGUGCGUUGAUAAGUGUUGCAAUGUUCGUUGAUGCGUGUGAGUACCUGUGCUGUGUGUUUUGGGCUUUCGUGCCCUUGUGGAUUGAUCAGAUGAUUACGGGUUUCAUCCUGUGUGUUAAUCAUUGUGCGCGUGUGAAUUUAUUUGAGGUAUUCAUCGCUCUUUUGUUUGGGUUUCUACCUUGUGUGUUGUGUACGUGUUUGUUUGGUCUUUGUCCCCGUACCUUUACACGGCACACUGUAAUUAGGGGUAUAAGUUUAAAAAACGAUUCCGCAUUCCUGCGCCUGUCUCCCGAAUCAUCAUUGUUACCAACGUGACAGAAUAAUCGACCAUUGAGGAAGACUGCAGGAAUGGCCCAUCCGACGACGCUGUGACUGGUCCGUCCGGCACCGCCGCAACUUCGGCAGCUGCAACUGGGUUGUCUGAAGUCGUCACAACGGGUCUGUCCGACGACGCAACUUCAGCAGCCACAGCUGGCCCCUCCGACGCCGCCACAGCCGGUCCAUUCGAGGCUACUGGUCCGUCCGACACCACCGCAACUUCCUUCGGCAGCGGCAACUCUGGCCCGUCUGACAACGACGCAACUUCGGCAGCUGCAUCGGGUCCUGAUCGACCCGCACUUCGUUCCUGUGAUCGCCCACGAGAACGGUGUCGUUGCACUGCCAGUGCAGCACGUGAGGGGGAGGGUACUGUCACGGAUCCCUCCGGAACUUUCUUCACGCACACCUGUACCCUAUUCCCACUGAUUACUAUUUGUAAUAUAUGUGCCCUUUGGUUUCCAUUGGGGGGGGGUUGAUUAGUGUUACAAUGUCCGUUGGUGCGUGUGAGUACCUGUGCUGUGUGUUUUGGGCUUUCGUGCCCUCAGAUUACAAGUUUUGUCCCGUGUGUUAAUCAUUGUGCGCGUGUGUAUUUAUUCAAGGUACUCCUCACUCUUUUGUUUGGGUUUCAAGCCUGUGUGUUUUGUACGUUUUUGUUUGGUCUUCUUCCCCGUGCCUUUUUACAGCACGCCGUAAUUUGGUGUAUAACAAAAAAAACUAUUACGCAUUCCUGCGCCUGUCUCCCGAAUCAUUGUUACCAACGUGACAUAAGGUACUGUAUCUAUACUUUUACUCAAGUAUGCCAAUUGGAUACUUUUUCCACCACUGUGUACAAUUGGUAUUGGUUUGUCACAUAAUGUUAUACAGAUCACAUGUAGGCUAUCAUCUAAUUUGUAUUAAUGGUUUCUCUAAAACCUUAUAGCACUCAGUCACAGCAGCCAUCUUCUUCCUUCCUGAGCUCUUCAAUGUAGAUUCCAGACGUCUCUACGUUAUGGACAAGAUUUCAUCCUCCCUACACCGCUGAUGAAUAUAACUGGAAACCUGUUCGAUCACCAUGCACUGCGAAAUCAUUCUUGCUAUGGAUACGAAGGAUAUCAACAUAUUAACACGCCAGAGAAAAUAUUGACUGAACUUGGAGCUCUGCUGGGAGUUGACCUAAUAUUUAUAUUUUUGAAUUCUGCUUUGCCACUAAAAUCGUAAUAAACAUUGACUACUAAACUAUUGUGUUAUUGUUAUGCUGAUUCAUAAUACAAAUAAUGGGGGGAAACCCCAAAAGGUUAUUCAUGGAACCAUUCAAGUUGGGGUUUUUUAAGAACUUAGAGGUUCCCCCAGUUUCAAUUUGAAGAACCCCUAAAAGAUCUUCCAGGAACCUUUUCUUUUUAGAGUAUAAUACUUCUGACAGCAAAAUGUAUAACUCCGCCCAUAGCUUCUGGACUUUAUAGCACUCCCAGAAGGCAUGGAUUAUUGAGUCGUUGUUAGUUUUACACUUAAGACAUGCCUCUGCCGUUGUGCUGUAGAAUUUGUGAAUUUUGUCUUGUAUAAUAUAUUCUGUACAAUUGUUUAUACUGGAUUAAAAGUAC